rnacentral:misc_RNA from 1 species
UUUCCGUAGGUGAACCUGCGGAAGGAUCAUCAACAAAACAAUUCAAAAAUUCAAAACAAAAAAAACACCAAUUUCAUUCCAAAAUUAUAUUGGAAUGUUUUUUUAAUGGGGAUGUGGAGAUUUCUAAUUAGAUUUUUUUAAUUAGAUUUUUCUCAUGCCCCAUCAUUUGAAACUAAACUCCUAAAAUUAAAUUAAAAAAUUAUUCUAAAAAAAUUUUAAAAUAUAAAAAUAGAGACAACUUUUAACAAUGGAUCUCUUGGCUCUC